AAAAAUACACACACACU
rnacentral:miRNA from 1 species